rnacentral:rRNA from 1 species
ACGCACGCUGGCGGCAUGCCUCACACAUGCAAGUCGAACGAGACCUUCGGGUCUAGUGGCGCACGGGUGCGUAACGCGUGGGAACCUGCCCUUAGGUUCGGAAUAACUCCCCGAAAGGGGUGCUAAUACCGGAUAAUGUCUUCGGACCAAAGAUUUAUCGCCUUUGGAUGGGCCCGCGUUGGAUUAGCUAGUUGGUAGGGUAAAAGCCUACCAAGGCGACGAUCCAUAGCUGGUCUGAGAGGAUGAUCAGCCACACUGGGACUGAGACACGGCCCAGACUCCUACGGGAGGCAGCAGUGGGGAAUAUUGGACAAUGGGCGAAAGCCUGAUCCAGCAAUGCCGCGUGAGUGAUGAAGGCCUUAGGGUUGUAAAGCUCUUUUACCCGGGAUGAUAAUGACAGUACCGGGAGAAUAAGCUCUGGCUAACUCCGUG